rnacentral:tRNA from 1 species
GGAGAGGUGCCGGAGUGGUUGAACGGGGCACUCUCGAAAAGUGUUAGUCGAGCAAUCGGCUCGGGAGUUCGAAUCUCCCCCUCUCCG